rnacentral:rRNA from 1 species
UACGUAGGGGGCAAGCGUUGUCCGGAAUCAUUGGGCGUAAAGCGCGUGUAGGCGGCCCGGUAAGUCCGCUGUGAAAGUCGGGGGCUCAACCCUCGAAUGCCGGUGGAUACUGUCGGGCUAGAGUGCGGGAGAGGCGAGUGGAAUUCCUGGUGUAGCGGUGAAAUGCGCAGAUAUCAGGAGGAACACCGAUGGCGAAGGCAGGUCUCUGGGCAUUAACUGACGCUGAGGAGCGAAAAGCAUGGGGGAGCGAACAGG